CUUCGUCAGUCGCCGCUUUUGGAAAACUCGAAGAAUAAAAAAUGGUCAGAUGCAUCAAAAACCCAAAGAAAGCCAAAACAAGGGCCAAGGCAUCAAUACCGGAGUUAUGCAAAAAAAGAGUGGAAAACAAGUUUUUUGGGUGUCUAGAGUAAUUCCAAUGGAACAAGAGUCAACUUCUGUAUCAAGACAAAUGCAUUACAACAAGAAGAUAAGAGACAUCCGUUUUAGAAAUCAAAUAGACAUGGGGAUGCUAUUAAAUGGCCUUAGGAGAGAACUUAAUUACUAGUUUUAUUAUUUCCGUUAUUUUUUCUUUUAUUUAAUAAGAACUUAAAGUGCAUUAGUGAGAAUGUUAGUGGGUUGUUAAUUAGAAUUUAGCAGGAUUUAUGAUUAUUGAGUGUUAUAUUAAGGAGAUUCAUUCUCCAUUUGAUUAGGAGCAAGCCACCAAAAACCACGAAGCAAAAUUCACAUAGGUUGCGUCAAGGAAGGACAAGAGGAAGAGCUACUUCGGAGUUUUUCUUUGUUAGGGCUACGAUGUAGCCUGAUCAUGAAUAUUUAAUUGCCUUGUGGUAUUGUUAGUAUCAAGUAUUUAUUCCAUAUUGAGUAUCUUUUGCUAUUCGUAA